GGUUAAGCGACUAAGCGUACACGGUGGAUGCCCUGGCAGUCAGAGGCGAUGAAGGACGUGCUAAUCUGCGAUAAGCGUCGGUAAGGUGAUAUGAACCGUUAUAACCGGCGAUUUCCGAAUGGGGAAACCCAGUGUGUUUCGACACACUAUCAUUAACUGAAUCCAUAGGUUAAUGAGGCGAACCGGGGGAACUGAAACAUCUAAGUACCCCGAGGAAAAGAAAUCAACCGAGAUUCCCCCAGUAGCGGCGAGCGAACGGGGAGCAGCCCAGAGCCUGAAUCAGUGUGUGUGUUAGUGGAAGCGUCUGGAAAGGCGUGCGAUACAGGGUGACAGCCCCGUACACAAAAAUGCACAUGCUGUGAGCUCGAUGAGUAGGGCGGGACACGUGGUAUCCUGUCUGAAUAUGGGGGGACCAUCCUCCAAGGCUAAAUACUCCUGACUGACCGAUAGUGAACCAGUACCGUGAGGGAAAGGCGAAAAGAACCCCGGCGAGGGGAGUGAAAAAGAACCUGAAACCGUGUACGUACAAGCAGUGGGAGCCUCUUUAUGGGGUGACUGCGUACCUUUUGUAUAAUGGGUCAGCGACUUAUAUUCUGUAGCAAGGUUAACCGAAUAGGGGAGCCGAAGGGAAACCGAGUCUUAACUGGGCGUUAAGUUGCAGGGUAUAGACCCGAAACCCGGUGAUCUAGCCAUGGGCAGGUUGAAGGUUGGGUAACACUAACUGGAGGACCGAACCGACUAAUGUUGAAAAAUUAGCGGAUGACUUGUGGCUGGGGGUGAAAGGCCAAUCAAACCGGGAGAUAGCUGGUUCUCCCCGAAAGCUAUUUAGGUAGCGCCUCGUGAAUUCAUCUCCGGGGGUAGAGCACUGUUUCGGCAAGGGGGUCAUCCCGACUUACCAACCCGAUGCAAACUGCGAAUACCGGAGAAUGUUAUCACGGGAGACACACGGCGGGUGCUAACGUCCGUCGUGAAGAGGGAAACAACCCAGACCGCCAGCUAAGGUCCCAAAGUCAUGGUUAAGUGGGAAACGAUGUGGGAAGGCCCAGACAGCCAGGAUGUUGGCUUAGAAGCAGCCAUCAUUUAAAGAAAGCGUAAUAGCUCACUGGUCGAGUCGGCCUGCGCGGAAGAUGUAACGGGGCUAAACCAUGCACCGAAGCUGCGGCAGCGACACUAUGUGUUGUUGGGUAGGGGAGCGUUCUGUAAGCCUGUGAAGGUGUGCUGUGAGGCAUGCUGGAGGUAUCAGAAGUGCGAAUGCUGACAUAAGUAACGAUAAAGCGGGUGAAAAGCCCGCUCGCCGGAAGACCAAGGGUUCCUGUCCAACGUUAAUCGGGGCAGGGUGAGUCGACCCCUAAGGCGAGGCCGAAAGGCGUAGUCGAUGGGAAACAGGUUAAUAUUCCUGUACUUGGUGUUACUGCGAAGGGGGGACGGAGAAGGCUAUGUUGGCCGGGCGACGGUUGUCCCGGUUUAAGCGUGUAGGCUGGUUUUCCAGGCAAAUCCGGAAAAUCAAGGCUGAGGCGUGAUGACGAGGCACUACGGUGCUGAAGCAACAAAUGCCCUGCUUCCAGGAAAAGCCUCUAAGCAUCAGGUAACAUCAAAUCGUACCCCAAACCGACACAGGUGGUCAGGUAGAGAAUACCAAGGCGCUUGAGAGAACUCGGGUGAAGGAACUAGGCAAAAUGGUGCCGUAACUUCGGGAGAAGGCACGCUGAUAUGUAGGUGAAGCGACUUGCUCGUGGAGCUGAAAUCAGUCGAAGAUACCAGCUGGCUGCAACUGUUUAUUAAAAACACAGCACUGUGCAAACACGAAAGUGGACGUAUACGGUGUGACGCCUGCCCGGUGCCGGAAGGUUAAUUGAUGGGGUCAGCGCAAGCGAAGCUCUUGAUCGAAGCCCCGGUAAACGGCGGCCGUAACUAUAACGGUCCUAAGGUAGCGAAAUUCCUUGUCGGGUAAGUUCCGACCUGCACGAAUGGCGUAAUGAUGGCCAGGCUGUCUCCACCCGAGACUCAGUGAAAUUGAACUCGCUGUGAAGAUGCAGUGUACCCGCGGCAAGACGGAAAGACCCCGUGAACCUUUACUAUAGCUUGACACUGAACAUUGAGCCUUGAUGUGUAGGAUAGGUGGGAGGCUUUGAAGUGUGGACGCCAGUCUGCAUGGAGCCGACCUUGAAAUACCACCCUUUAAUGUUUGAUGUUCUAACGUGGACCCGUUAUCCGGGUUGCGGACAGUGUCUGGUGGGUAGUUUGACUGGGGCGGUCUCCUCCUAAAGAGUAACGGAGGAGCACGAAGGUUGGCUAAUCCUGGUCGGACAUCAGGAGGUUAGUGCAAUGGCAUAAGCCAGCUUGACUGCGAGCGUGACGGCGCGAGCAGGUGCGAAAGCAGGUCAUAGUGAUCCGGUGGUUCUGAAUGGAAGGGCCAUCGCUCAACGGAUAAAAGGUACUCCGGGGAUAACAGGCUGAUACCGCCCAAGAGUUCAUAUCGACGGCGGUGUUUGGCACCUCGAUGUCGGCUCAUCACAUCCUGGGGCUGAAGUAGGUCCCAAGGGUAUGGCUGUUCGCCAUUUAAAGUGGUACGCGAGCUGGGUUUAGAACGUCGUGAGACAGUUCGGUCCCUAUCUGCCGUGGGCGCUGGAGAACUGAGGGGGGCUGCUCCUAGUACGAGAGGACCGGAGUGGACGCAUCACUGGUGUUCGGGUUGUCAUGCCAAUGGCACUGCCCGGUAGCUAAAUGCGGAAGAGAUAAGUGCUGAAAGCAUCUAAGCACGAAACUUGCCCCGAGAUGAGUUCUCCCUGACUCCUUGAGAGUCCUGAAGGAACGUUGAAGACGACGACGUUGAUAGGCCGGGUGUGUAAGCGCAGCGAUGCGUUGAGCUAACCGGUACUAAUGAACCGUGAGGCUUAACCUU
rnacentral:rRNA from 1 species